CGCCGGGCGUGGGAGGAAGAACCACGUGAUUCAACCUCUUUUGUUUGCGCUCUAGGAAAUUAAGGCUCAUAAAGUGACAUAAGGAGUAUUCCCUUUUUUUGUAUCCUCUGGAAGAAUUUUAAUAAGAUUGGAGUGAUUUUCCUUUCAAGCAUCAGUAGAAUUCACCAGUAAAACUGUCUGGAGCUGGGUGCAGUGGCUUACACCUAUAAUCUCAACUACUUGAGAGGCUCAAGCAGGAGGAUCACUUGAGGCAAGGAAUUCAAGACCAGACUGAGCAACAAGACUCCAUCUCCAAAAAACAAAAACCAAACAAAACAGAACAGAACAGCACAGCAAAACCAUCUCGGCUGGGUAUUUUCCUUGUGUGAAGUUUGUAAAAUACGACUUUGGUUUAUUUAAUAGUUAUGAAACUGUUCAAUUAUUUUCUUUCUCCUUGAGUCAGUUUAAUAAAAUAAUAGGUUCUAGAAUUUUUUCCAUGUCAUCUAAGGGUUUAAGCUCAUUGGCAUAGUUAUUGAUUGUAUUAUCUUCUUAAUCUCUGCUGUAUUUAUAGCUCUUUUUUCAUUUAUAAUAUUACUUGUGGUAGACUGUGUUAUUGCUCUCCAAAUAUUUGUUCCUUUUCUUAUAAGAGGACUAUACAUUUCUACCUAAUGCUAUGUGACUUGAGGUGACUCUUGUGACAGAAGAAUGCAUACCCAACCAGCUGUCAAUGGGCUUGAUCAUCGUACAUGAACAGAAACUUUAAAAGAUAUCGUACAUGUUUCUACCAGCUUUCUUGCUCUUUUCUCUCUUCCAUGAGAAUGGCAUGUGCGUGAUUGGGGACCCCAGAAUGAAGAAUACAUGUGGAGGAGAGCCCAGCAGAGUCAACAUAUAUAGCAAAUAAGAAAUAAACACAGAGAUUUGGGAUUUUGUAGUUACCAAAGCAUAUUAUAGUGAAAACUGACUGAUAAAAAUUAUUUGCCUUUAACUUCUUAUCAUUUUUUCUUAGAUAAAUCAUUGCAGAGGUUUAUUUAUUUUGUUGGUAUUUUUCAAAGAACCAACUUUGUCCUUGUUGAUUCUCCCUGUUUUCUAUUUCGUUUCUAUCUCUAGUUCUGCUCUUAUAAUUAUCCCCUUCCUUCCAUUUUCUUCGAGUUUAUUCUGUUAUUUCUUAAAGUUGUGUGUUUAGUUUAUUAAUUUUCAGCCAUGUUUUUCUUGUCUUUAAAAACAUUUAAGGCAGUAAAUUUCCUUCAAAGCACU
rnacentral:lncRNA from 10 species